GUGCCAGCCGCCGCGGUAACACGUAGGGGGCGAGCGUUGUCCGGAAUUACUGGGCGUAAAGGGCGCGUAGGCGGUCUAAUAAGUCAGAUGUGAAACCCCCGGGCUUAACCCUGGGCUUGCAUUUGAAACUGUUGGACUUGAGGACAGGAGAGGAAAGCGGAAUUCCCAGUGUAGCGGUGAAAUGCGUAGAUAUUGGGAGGAACACCAGUGGCGAAGGCGGCUUUCUGGACUGCCCCUGACGCUGAGGCGCGAAAGCCAGGGUAGCGAACGGGAUUAGAUACCCCGGUAGUCCUGGCCGUAAACGAUGGAUACUAGGUGUGGGAGGUAUCGACCCCUUCCGUGCUGUAGCCAACGCACUAAGUAUCCCGCCUGGGGAGUACGGCCGCAAGGCUGAAACUUAAAGAAAUUGGCGG
rnacentral:rRNA from 1 species